AAAGUGGCGGAAUGGUAGACGCAUCAGACUCAAAAUCUGACGAGGGCAACUUCAUGAGGGUUCGAGUCCCUCCUUUG
rnacentral:tRNA from 2 species